rnacentral:lncRNA from 1 species
CAGGGCUUGGAAAUGGAAAGGUUGGAAAGCAAACCUUUUUGGAGAAACAUCUUCCUUCGUUACCAAACUUGGGAGAUAGACAAGAUGCAUUCAAUGUUUAUUUUGAAUGGGAUGAGAAUUUUGGAAUUCCAGAAGCAUUUUACAUCAAAAACUUUAUGCAAUCUGAGUUUUUUCUUGUGAGUCUCACUCUUGAAGACAUUCCCAAUCAUGGAACCAUUCACUUUGUUUGCAAUUCAUGGGUCUACAACGCUAAGUCUUACAAAAGGGAUCGCAUUUUCUUUGCUAAUAAGGUAAGUAACUUUCUACCUACCAAAGCAAGCAACUUAUGAAAUUCAAAAUUUUCCCUUAACUUUCAUAUAAUUUAGCUAGCUCAUUUUCUUCCCACUGUGUAAAUGAAAAACAUGGUUAAAUGUGUUGCAGACAUAUCUUCCAAAUGAAACUCCAGCUUCACUGGUAAAGUACAGAAAAGAAGAGUUGGAAAAUCUUAGAGGAGAUGGAACGGGGGAGCGCAAGGAAUAUGACAGGAUCUAUGAUUAUGAUGUUUAUAAUGAUUUGGGCAACCCAGACAAGAACAAGAAUUUAGCUCGUACUACUCUUGGAGGGUCUAGUGACUUUCCCUACCCUCGCAGGGGAAGAACUGGUAGAAAAUCAACAAGGAAAGGUUAGGAUUAUGUUUUCUAUUUUCAACAAAAUGUUUCAUAUGUUUUUGGUAACAUAUGUAGAGAUGUUGUGCAUUAUGACAUAUAAAUUCAUUUUGUUUUUGAAAACUGUGGUGAGUUCUCACUGCUGUUACUAAUUUCAAUUUUGUUUAACUUUUAAUAGACCCUAAGUGUGAGAUACCAACCAGUGACACCUACAUUCCAAGAGAUGAAAACUUUGGUCAUUUGAAGUCAGGAGACUUUCUUACCUAUGCAAUAAAGUCCUUAACUCAAAAUGUGUUACCUACAUUUCAAAAGGCAUUUGGUUUCAACAAUGAGUUUGAUACCUUUGAAGACGUGCGUGGACUCUUUGAAGGUGGACUUUAUCUCCCCACAGAUGUAAUCAGCAAAAUUAGCCCCAUACCAGUGCUUAAGGAAAUCCUCCGCACUGAUGGUGAGCAAGUCCUCAAGUUUCCACCACCUCACGUCAUCAGAGGUAUUGUGUAUAUGCUUGUUAUUAUAUUACAUAUCUUAAGUAAAAUAAACACUGAGUGCAUGCUAAUUAAUACUUGACUUUGUUUCUGUCAUGUUUAACGUUUCUAUGUUUUCCAAAUGAUUUGGAGCAGUUACUAAGUCCGCAUGGAUGACUGAUGAAGAAUUUGGAAGAGAGAUGCUUGCUGGUGUUAAUCCUUGCCUAAUUCAACGCCUUCAAGUAAGCAGUGCUUUUAUUGUUGGUUUAGUAACUAAGAAGAAAUUUGGUUUCUAUGUUGGAUUAUAUUCAUUGAAUCAUUGUUAAUGCUGUUUAACGAAUGGUAGGAGUUCCCUCCAAAAAGCAAGCUAGAUGUUACGGUGUAUGGUGAUCAAACUAGUACAAUGACCAAAGAACACUUGGAGAUCAACCUUGGUGGACUCACUGUGGAAGAGGUGAGUGAUACAAAUAUCAUAACAAAGUGACACAUCAAUACCAAAUUAAUCAUGACACUAAAUGAUCAUGUCAUGAUUAUAUUUUUGUGCAACAGGCACUGCAUGGUAACAGAUUGUUCAUAUUAGAUCAUCAUGAUGCAUUCAUACCAUAUUUGGAAAGGAUCAAUGACCUUCCCACUGCAAAGUGUUAUGCCACAAGAACUAUCCUUUUCUUGAAAGAUGACAACACUUUGAAGCCACUAGCCAUUGAAUUAAGUUUGCCAAAUCCUGGGGGAAAGGGUGCCAAUAGUAGAGUAAUCUUGCCUGCAGAUGAAGGUGCUGAAAGCACAAUUUGGCUACUUGCAAAGGCUUAUGUUGUUGUAAAUGACUCCUGCUACCAUCAACUCAUGAGCCAUUGGUAUUAAAAAAUUUGCCUCUGUCAUCACACAAAAACUUAUCUAUUUUGAAUUUGAGAAGUGAUUUUUUAUUUGUUCGUGAUCUCAGGUUGAAUACUCAUGCCGUAAUGGAACCGUUUGUGAUAGCAACAAACAGACAUUUGAGUGUGCUCCACCCUAUUUAUAAACUUCUGUUGCCUCAUUAUCGUGACACUAUGAAUAUCAAUGCACUUGCACGACAGUCGCUUAUCAAUGCAGGUGGUGUCAUUGAGCGAUCAUUUUUGCCAGGCGAAUUCGCUGUAGAGAUGUCCUCAGCAGUUUACAAGAGUUGGGUUUUCACUGAUCAAGCCCUUCCAGCAGAUCUUAUCAAGAGGUAAUGUUUAUACACAUAGAUUGCUAUAUACAAUUUUCAAGUUAGAAUUUUCAUUUUUGAUACCAAAGUCCUUUGUAUUAUUCACCCUUGAUUCAGAGGAAUGGCAGUUGAGGAUCCAUCCUCUCCAUAUGGCCUUCGCCUUGUGGUAGAGGACUACCCUUAUGCUGUUGAUGGACUAGAAAUAUGGGAUACUAUUCAGACCUGGGUUAAAGACUAUGUCUCCUUGUACUAUCCCACAAAUGAUGCAGUUAAGAAAGACACUGAACUCCAAGCUUGGUGGAAAGAAGCUGUUGAGAAAGGUCACGGUGACUUGAAAGAUAAGCCAUGGUGGCCAAAGUUGAACACUCCUCAAGAUCUGAUUCACACUUGCUCCAUUAUUAUAUGGAUUGCUUCAGCUCUUCAUGCAGCUGUGAAUUUUGGACAAUAUCCUUACGGUGGUUUCAUCCUAAAUCGUCCAACUAUAACCAGAAGAUUGCUGCCUGAACCAGGAACCAAAGAAUAUGGUGAGCUCACCAGCAAUUAUCAAAAGGCUUAUUUGAGAACAAUUACAGGGAAGGUUGAGGCCAUUGUGGACCUUUCAGUGAUAGAGAUAUUGUCAAGACAUGCUUCUGAUGAGGUCUAUCUUGGACAGAGGGACAAUCCAAAUUGGACUAAUAACAUAAAAGCACUUCAAGCAUUUAAGAGGUUUGGACAAAAGCUGAAGGAAAUUGAAGAAAAAAUCAUGGGGAGGAACAAAGAUUCAAGUCUUAGAAACCGUAAUGGACCAGUUCAGAUGCCCUACACUGUGCUUCUUCCUACCUGUGAAGAUGAAGGCCUCACUUUUAGAGGAAUUCCCAACAGCAUCUCAAUCUAAUGAGUUUCUCUACGUGUUGUUCUCUUUGCAAUCCUACCUUUUUAAUCACAAAUAAAUAUGCAGGCUUAUCCACCUAUGCAUAACUGUCUUCUAUAUCUAUGCUUAAGUGUUGUAUGUGGAUUUUAUCUAGUUUUCGUAUUUAGUACUAUGUUAUCAUUUAGUUACUAUCAUGUUGUGAAGUUUGAUAUCCGACCUAUGAAUAUCAAAUAUAAUAUAACUGGGGUUUUCAAGUGGAGCUGUUACAUAUCAUGACUUUGAAUUGGUACCUAAAUGAGUCCCAUAAAACUUUUCUAUCCUACCAUUACAAGAAUAAGAUUAGUGUUUUUUCAUUAUUACUGCAUGAACAGUCAUGCAGGAGUACAGAUAAAUAUGUUUUGAAAAAUUGAAUUGCCCCAUAUCAAAUACAAUUUUACCUGUGCUCAGAUUACUGCUAUUUUAGAGUUGAUCUUACGUUUGGAAAAUGAUACUUUUUUUUUAUGUUUUAACGAUCUACACAUUGGCUAAUUAAUUGGUGUGUUUUUCCACCAAACAUGUUCAUCUUAAUCUUUGAGUUUAUCAUUGGAUUGAUCAUAUCUAGUGUGAGUAUAUGUGGUCAAGUCCAAUCAUGUGGUGAAACUAUUUUAAUGUCGAUCUUUAGAGUUAACGAAAAAAUCUCAUUUAUUUCUCAUUAAGACGGGUGUUAAUUAUGAAGAUUGACUAUAUAUAUAUAUAUGCGGAAUUGUAAUUAAUUUGGGAAUAUAGUUCAAAAUAAGACUAAAUACAAGGAGAAGGGAUGAAGACUUUUUUAACUCAUAUUUUACACUAUACUCAAUAUAUUUUGAUACUCUUACUGACUUAGCGAGCAUCAGAAUAUUUUCUACAAGUAGAAUCCCCUCAUUUUCUUAGAGUCAAUUCAUGAAACUUGCAAGGAUAUCAUCCGGUAACCAUCUCAGAGUUUAAUCGACCUCAGCUACUGGUUGAGAGAUAUCCAUUUUCACUAGAACAAUUAGUAUAUUUUAUUAAAUUAAAAACACCUCAUUAUUAUUAUUAUACUUUUAAAAUUAAUACUUAUUAUUAUUCCUUUAAAAUUAAUAUUUAUUAUUAUUUAAAAAUUAAUACUUAUUAUUAUUAUUACUUUAAAAUUAAUAUUUUAUUAUUAAUAUUGUUAUUGUUAUUUUUCCUUUAAGUCUUAAAAAAAUAUUUAUAAAUAAUAUAAUUAUAAUACAUUGUGUCUAAAAAAUAUUACCAUAUAAAUAUUUAGAUAUUGCAUUUUGAAUUGAAAGUGAUGAGAUAAUACAUUGAUUCACGAUUCACGAUUUAUUGGUACUGAAAACUCAACAUUGACUUAGAACUGAAAGGAGUGUACCAAUAUGAAAGGAGUGUACCAAUACAUAAGAGACUCAUAUUAAAGAAAUAUUGUUAGAAAUUCAUAAGUUUUAAUCACACAUUUAAUAGAAUAAAAAAAUUGAACAACAUAUAAAGAAAGAGAUUGACAAACAUAUUGUUUUUAAAAAAUUUAUUAACCCUAAACCCUAAACAUCUUAUUGAGUUGACAUCCUUGGUUUAGCAUGUCUCUUUCGUAUGUAUUCCUCUAAAAAAUUUAAUAAUUAUAAGAUAAUUUUUUCUAUUCAUAUAAUUUUGUUUUACAAAAAUAACUAUUUUACAUCAAUCUUAAAUAACUCCAUCUUCUCAAAAUAGUUUCUUUUCAAAGUAGUGUGUGCCUUCUCAAAUAAAUUUCCAAAUAUACUUUAUUAAUUUAAAUGUCUCCAUUUUUACUUUUCCCUUUGUUAUUCUAAAAUCAUCUGCAAACACAAAAGUGGAGUCAAACCAAAUCAUCUGUUUAAAACCAAAACUGUAACUAUAUAUUAUUUUUAGUGAAUAUAAAUUGUAAAUUGGUAUGAAGAAGCUAAAUAGGAUAUGGACUUAAGACACCAUUUUCAACCAAAAAAUUUUAAAUAAUGUUAUUUACUUACUCAUUUAUGCCCUAUGACAGUUUGAUCUGAUUUCAAGUCUUAACCAGACAAGAAACAAUGACGACAAGACACAAAGAGCUUUAAGAAAGGAGGAAGUGGGACAUGGUAGUGAUUUGGAGGGAUAAGGUUGGUGCUGUAAAACAGACACAUGUUCUGUUUAACAAAAAAAUAUUAUAGCUUAGAAGAUAUGGGUGAUGAUAGAGUAGUUGGAUGAGUGUGUGUGCGACACACUGCAUGUGACACGGUCCCACACUUUAUCUUCUGAUUUGAUUUCUGCAGUUAAAGCUGUGUGCAGCGAAUCGACUUCAUCAUCUUUUGUCGUUAUUCGUUGCCAUUUUCACACGCGCAUAAUGCAUUUCAAAGCUCCAUUGGAUAAUUCUAGAGGAAUUUCCCCACAAUUUCUUUUCCAUCAAUGUGUAAGUAAUGCUAUAUUUACUUUAACUGGCUUAAAUUAAAUAAAAAACAAUUUUUUAAAAAUAAAAAAUAAUUAAUUACUAUAUUAAAUAAAUUAAAUACUACUUUAAAAAUUCAAAAAAUUAUUAGUAUCUAAAUUAAUUUUUAUUAUUGAUAAAUAAUUUAUAAAUUUAGAUUUUAAAAUUGGUAGUUAUUCUAAUACAUAAUAAUUUCCCAUCAUUAAGGAGUCGAGAGAUCAAAAUCAUUUUAUAUAUACUUUAUCACUUAAUCCAUUGAGACACUGUUCUUAACGGACAAUACUAGAUCAGAAUGAUCGUUGAUUAAAUACUAAUUUAAAAACUAUUUAUCAGUAAUAUAAAUUAAUUUAGAUACUAAUAUUUUUUUAAUUUCUAAAAUAAUAUAUAAUUUAACUAAUAUAAUAAUUAUAAAAUGUUUUUAUUAUAUUUAUCUUACAUUAGAUAUGACUGAUAUUUACGAGACUUUAGAAUAAUUUGAUAUAAAAUAAAAUUUGAGUCUAAUUUAGCUUUAUAAAUUUGAUAUUUAAGUUGAAAUUUAUACACAUAUUUAUGUACUACAAAAAUAUCUUUAUCUACAAUGAAAUCUCCAACAAUUUAUUGUUAAAAAAUAUUAGUUUUAUUUUCAUAACUUUUAAAAGAUAAAAUUUUCAUUUCUAUUGGUGUAAAGUUAUAUAAAAUGAUUAUUUGUAUUAAAAAAAUAGUUGGUUCUGUCACUGUCAGGUUUGAAACAAAGGAAUCCCAUCGUUGGAAGUAGAGAAACCUCGAGUUCCUCAUGGGCAAUAUAAUAUUAUAUUUUAAUUAGCAAAGAAAAAAAAAAUAAUAAUCUACAUCGUGAUCUUAGGUUUGGUUGUUAAAGAAUCAAAUCAUGUUCAAACAAAGCAUGCUUCUCGAGUGAGAAAGAUAAUCAUAUUUUAUUACGAAAACAGGGAUGGUUUACGUCAACUUAUUCUUUUUUUUAUCAUUUGAUGAUUGUCAAAUAGGAAUUUUUACUACAUUUUAAACUCAAAAUCAUUUUUUUAAAACGAUCACGUAUUCAAAAUACAAUUUACUUAUUUAAAAAAGUAAAAAAAAAACUUAUUUUUAAGAAAAGUAUAUUAAAUGAACACAUAAAAAAUUGAAAGACAUAUCAUCCAAUAAUUUAUCCAUUUUCAGUUGGCUGAUAUUUAAAAAAAAUUAAGUAUAUAAAAUACGAUAUUUAUGUAUUUAAAUAUAAAAAAGAAGAAGUUUUGAAUGAUUAUCAUAUAAGAAAUUAUUAACUAUAAUGAAAAAAAAAACUGUUUAGAACCUUCUUCUGUUGUAAUGGAGUUGCAUUCAAAUUUAUUGUAAUAAGAUUUUCAGAAAGAUAACUUAUUAUUAUUCUAUAAGGAUAAAAUCCCAAAAUUUCAUCUUUUUCUAGUAGCAACUCUAUUUUUUUUUAUAAAUAUUGGGUAACCUAAAGGAUAAUGAAAGUCUAGUUUCAUGAUCUUUAGAAUUUUCUAAUAGUAAUUGAAGCAUUAUUUUACUCUAUUUAAACACAAUAGAGUUAAAUAUAAAGUGAUUUUUAUUUAUUUAUUUUUUAUUAUUGGUAAAAAAUAAUAGGAAAAACUUAAAUUUUAAAUUCUGUUACUAUUCUCAUAAUAUUAGGAAUAUGUUUCCAUAAAUUCAGGACAUAUAUUUUUUAUUAUGAUAUUAAAAAUUAAAAGUGGUACUUACUUUUUAGUUGUAAGGUUUAACAAGAAUAAUCAGCUAAUUUUUUUUUUUAUAAAAGUAAUUCUAUAGUGAAAGGGAAAGUGAAAGUGAAAGUGAAAAAGAAAAGAAAAUAAUGAGACAUAUAUUAUUUUAUUUUUUUGGUGAGUAAGUAUUAUCAUAUAUAAAAUUGUAUUUGUUUGUUUUUGAAAAAAUAUGGGCAGUAACAGUGACACAUUGAAGAUUGUCUAUACCCACAUUUUCAAUUUUGUCCACCAUUUCCCCAUACAUACACUCCUCUUAUUUAAUUUCCUAUUUAUUGGGAUUAUUAAUUAUUAAUUUGGUCUUUUAACAGAGAAUAAGACAAUUUAAAUGAUGUUUUGGAUGAAUUGAAAUAUAUUUUGUUUGUUGAAUGUGUGAUUGUUUUUUCUUAAAAUUGUAAAAUGGUGUUAUUAAACAUGAUGAUAAUGUUCAAGUGUUGUUCACCGCUUAAGCAAUAUUUAAAUGGUGUAUAAAAUAAAUUUUAUUGUUAACUAGUAGUAUUCGAUAAAAAAAAAUGUAGAUGUUAAAGGAAUAAGAAAAUAUUUUAUGUUAGAAGUCUAUAGCUAGAAUAAGAGAGAUUAAAAUAACUUGUUCAAAUGAGGUUAUUCAAGCAACUAUGUCGCCGUUCAAGCAAGAUCCAUGAUAAUGGUGCAUACAUUCACAUCACAAUGUUCAAGUGGUAUCAUGAAAACUCAAAUGUUAGUGAAACAAUGUGUUUUAUGUUAUGAACCUUAUUAGAAGAGGUCCAAUACAUAUAUUAUUCAAGCAUUGUGAGAAUGUUCAAGCGAUAAACUCUCAAGUGAAGAGAAUGUAGUUUGAGUGAAUAAAAGUCUUAACUAAAAUUACUAUCUAGAGGUAUCUCUCCUAAGUAAUAUGAAACUACUUCUUAAUGAGUAAUAUGAAUCAUUGGUGUGAGAUAUAUAUGCCUGAUACAUUCUUAGGUAGUCAUACUUUUAAUGUCAGCGAUCUAACUCCUUUUUCUGUAGGUCUCCAGAAUUCGUGGUCGAAUUCUCUCCAACUCGGGGAGUAUGAUGGAGAUCAAGCCCAAGAGAACAUGGAGGCCACUCAUCAAGCUCAAGAAGAGGUGGNNNNNNNNNNNNNNNNNNNNNNNNNNNNNNNNNNNNNNNNNNNNNNNNNNNNNNNNNNNNNNNNNNNNNNNNNNNNNNNNNNNNNNNNNNNNNNNNNNNNNNNNNNNNNNNNNNNNNNNNNNNNNNNNNNNNNNNNNNNNNNNNNNNNNNNNNNNNNNNNNNNNNNNNNNNNNNNNNNNNNNNNNNNNNNNNNNNNNNNNNNNNNNNNNNNNNNNNNNNNNNNNNNNNNNNNNNNNNNNNNNNNNNNNNNNNNNNNNNNNNNNNNNUCGAUGCAACGUACCUAAUAAUUUAAGCUUUUUCCUUUUAAUACUUAAAAAAAAAAUCCUAAAGAACUUUUAGAUGGGUUUUCCAAAGAUUAAAUCCUACAAAAAUAACAUCCCCUUAUCACCAAUUACUCAAGAUGAAUAGAAAAUAAUAAUAUAUUAUUGAUAGAAAUUGAGUCACUUGUUUAAUUAGUCUAUAUUAUUCCCUAUUUUUCCGCUUUCUCAAGUCUGAAAAAUGAUACCACACCAUAAUAGUCAUAAUUUUUUCUCAUCUUAGAGAUAGUUUAGAAAAAAAGUUUUUUAUUAAAAUAAAUAUUUAACUUUUAUUUAUACACUACCUAUUUCUUGUUAAUUUAAAAUUGCAUCUUAAAAUAAAAUUAAAGGCUUAUACAACACACUAUAACUAAUAUAUUGAACGAGUUUUGUACACUCCAAAGUUCAAUGUUUUUAGUGUUUCAAAAUAUUGCACGUGUUAUAAUAAUACGGUAGCAGACCAUGUUUAUCAUGGCAUUCAUCCACACACUUUGUAGUCACUCGAAAUUUAUUUCUAAUUAUUAUAUUUAUUUUCUCUAGGAUAUCAUUAUUUGAGUGAUUAGAUAUUUUAUGUUUACAUAGAAUUAUAUAAUAACUCAUGGUUGACUCCAGUCAUUAGUAAAAAUUAAUUGAAUUAAAGAAAAGUAUAUUAUUUUGAAAGAAUAUUUAAAUAAAAAGUUUUAAAAACAUUGAAUUUAGUAAAAGAAUUACGAAAUUCUCUUUUUAUAAAUUUUGGUGUUUGAUUUGUUAAUUUUUCCUCACUGCUAGCAAGGUUGAGCUUUUGUGAUAAAGAAUAACUCUAAAUUUUUUUUUUUUGGAGUUUGUAAUAAAUUGGGUUGUAAAUUUUUUUUAAAAGAUAAAAAUAAUUAAUAAAAUAGAGAUAUUUCAUGUAUACCACAACUUUUAUAGAAAACAACUUUAUUGCAGAGUGAAUUUUAAACCUAACUCAACUCCAUAAAAUCAGUUUAAUGAAAUGAGGUUUGCAUCCACUUAUAUACUAUGAAAGACUCUAAUCUCUAGUCGAUGUGGGAUCUCCAACAAACUUACAUCUUAGAUUCUUGCACUAUGAGAAACAUGCAACUUAGACAAACAAAAAAGUCAUUUUUACAAAUCUCUAUAAAAUUGGGAUGUGAGAUAUUAUCUUAUCUCUCUUCUUAAUUCUAAUAUAAGGGUUGAGUCAUCUUUAAAAUAUCUAUAUUUAUUUAUUAUUUUUAAUAAAAAAAAUCUGAUUUUAUACUGUAGUUGUACGUACUAUAGCUGAUUGAUAUAUAUGUGUUUUUUUUAUAUACUAUCUAUUUGAUGAUUCAUAACUCAAACUCUAUUAUUUUUCCAUAUUCUUUCCACCUCAUCAUCAUCCACGAGGGAAAACAGUGCAGGUAAGGUAAUCAUGUAUCACUAUCACCCUUACAAAUGAUCAAGGAAUGGUGAGAGGCCAUAUUGCAAUUUAGCAGAAAAAUAUCAGAAAAUUACUUCAGUAGAGAGAGGUAAUUCAGCAUUGGUUGAAAUGACUUUGUUCUUGGAACACGUGAUAUUGAUCUAUAAAUAGGGUGUUGUGGAGAGGGUAGAAGGCACAAACAAGGCACAAGGCUUUGAAGAAAGAAGAAGAGUGUGUGGUGUUGUGUUUUAUUGGCAAAGAUGUUUGGAAUCCUAGGAGGAGGAAAGGGUCACAAGAUAAAGGGAACAGUGGUGUUGAUGACCAAGAAUGUGUUGGACUUCAACGAAGUAGUGUCCACUGCUGGUGGUGGUGUGCUUGGUAUUGCUGGUGGCAUCUUUGGAACUGCAAACAAAGUAGUCGGAGGAAUAGUUGACGGCGCCACCGCCAUCUUCAGCCGCAACAUUGCCCUACAGUUGGUCAGCGCCACCAAGACUGAUGGUUUGUUUCUUCCUUCUGUUUUCUUCUGCAGUUCAAAAUAACUCUUCUGCUUCUUUCAACAUGUAGUUUAUCAAGAAACUAACAUAGACAUAAACAAUCCAACCACACUUUUUAAAACAACUUCUUAUGUUAGAUUUGAAGAACAGUAAUAAUAUAUUCACAUGUACCAGGUUAUAACUGAUUAAACUGGUGACAGUUGUUAAAGUUACACUUUAGUUUGAAGAUAAUAGUUUCUACAGUUAUUUCUCACUUCUCACUUUCAUCAUUGUUAAACUCUUGAUAAUUAUGACUGUACAAAAUUUUCAUUUCAUAAACAUUCAGUUUAAAGAGUCAUGAUCUCUAUCUGUUUUGGGUAAAUUGAAGUAGAAAAAAUAGAGAUGAACAAGAUAAUAAAAAAAGAGUUAUUUAUUUAUUUAUUUAUGGUGUAAAUCUUUCACGUACUUAAACAUGAUUGUUUAUUAUAUAUUCUCGAUUGCAUGAUUUGGAAAGAGAAUUUUAUCUUUAUUUUUAUUUGAAGUAGUUAGACAACUCCAAAAUAUAAUGAAUAGAAUAAAUGAUACGAUCCAUAAUGAACAUAAUGAUUUGUACAAAACAACAAACUUGUUUUAUUAAAAAGAAUUAUUAGAUCUGAACAUUUAAAAAAUAAAAUUGUUAGUGUUGAUAUUAAAGUAAGUUUAUAUUGAUUUAUAAUAGGAUAUAUUAUAUUAUUAUAAGGUAUUUAUAUAUUAUCAAUACUUAAAAUACUUAUUUACUGUGGACUUUCAGAAUAUAUUUUAAAAGAUGAUAUUCUUUUCAAGGAUUAGACAGUUUUUUUUAUUAGCUUUGAUUAGGGACACUAUCAUGAAGAUAUUUUUAUAAAAUGAAUUAGGAUUUUUUUUUUCUGAAAGAGCAGGGAUAGAGAAAAAAAAUAUUAAUAUUCUUUAAUUUUUUUCUUAUUUUAUAUUAUUUUUAAUUUAACUGAAUAAAAUUGACCCGGAUUGAUAUUUUUCCAUUCUAUUUAUAAUUAUAGUUGAUAUUAUAAUAAAUGUAGCACUUUUUUUUAGACAUAUAAAUACAAACAAAACUACAUUAAGUUCAUAUUUGAAAAAUAAACAUUACAAUAUAUAUAAUAAUAUUGUUUAUUAUAAUAAUUAUUUUAAAAAUGAUAUUAUAGUAUUACUUCUUAUUAAUUAGUUAAUGACAUAAACAUAUUUUAUCCUCUCUUUAUAUAUAAAUUAAAUUCUGUUUUCAAACUCUAUUAUUGUCUGUUUUAAAUUGAAAUGACAGCUUUUCCAAGACAGUGAUAACAGUGAACCUUUGUGUGGAAGAUAAUAGUUCUUUUUACGUGAACACACGAGAGCAGAUUAAGGUUUAGUUUGGAAAGAACAAGAAAAAUGGUUUUGUGGCAUUUAAACAUGUGAAGAAAAGAAGAUAAAGAAAGUGAGAAAAAGAGAGAAGAAAGAGAGGAUUUUUUUAAUAAUUCUUUUAAACUAUGAUUGUGAUUUUUUAACAAUUCAGUGAUGGAUUGUGGAUAAAAAGUAAUUGGGUAAGUAUAAAUUUUUGAAAAGCACUUUUGAAUUUGAAUGCACAAUGAGUAUGAGUUUUCUUUGUAUGUGCUUAUUUUUCAGGGCUUGGAAAUGGAAAGGUUGGAAAGCAAACGUUUUUGGAGAAUCAUCUUCCUUCGUUACCAACCUUGGGAGAUAGGCAAGAUGCAUUCAAUAUUUCUUUUGAAUGGGAUGAGAGUUUUGGAAUUCCAGGAGCAUUCUACAUCAAAAACUUUAUGCAAGCUGAGUUUUUCCUUGUGAGUCUCACUCUUGAAGACAUUCCAAAUCAUGGAACCAUUCACUUUGUGUGCAACUCCUGGGUUUACAACGCAAAAAAUUACAAAAAGGACCGUAUUUUCUUUGUCAACAAGGUAACUAACAUGAAAUUCAAGUACUAUUUUCCUAAACUUUCACAUAAUUUAGCCCAUUUUAAUGAAGAAAUUCAUCAAACAUGUUGCAGACAUAUGUUCCAAGUGAAACUCCAACUCCACUGGUUAAGUACAGAAAAGAAGAAUUGGAAAACCUAAGAGGGGAUGGAACUGGGCAGCGUAAGGUAUCUGAUAGGAUCUAUGAUUAUGAUGUGUAUAAUGAUUUGGGCAACCCAGACAAGAGUGCAGAUCUGGCUCGUCCUGUUCUUGGAGGUUCUAGUGCCUAUCCAUACCCUCGCAGAGGAAGAACUGGGAGAAAAGCAUCAAAAAGAGGUUAGGAUUUAAUUUUUCUAUUUUAGAUAAUCAAUUCCAAUGCAUGGUGAUAAAGUAAUUUGCCUCAAUGAAAUUGUACCUUGAUGUAGAGCUGUACUAUUAUAAGUUAGAUUUUUGUUUUUUGAAAGUGCAAUUACUUAUUAUUAUUAUUAUUAUCAUUAUCAUUAUGAUUGAGGAUACAAAAUUGAUUUUACUUUUAUUAACAGAUCCUAAGAGUGAGGCACCAGCCAGCGACACUUACAUUCCAAGAGAUGAAAAUUUUGGUCACUUGAAGUCAUCAGACUUUCUUACAUAUGGAAUAAAGUCCUUGGCUCAAAGUGUCUUACCUCAAUUUCAAUCUGCAUUUGGUUUAAAUGCUGAGUUUGAUAAGUUUGAUGACGUUCGUGGAUUCUUUGAAGGUGGAAUUCAUCUUCCUACAGACGUAAUAAGCAACAUUAGCCCCUUACCAGUGAUAAAGGAAAUCUUCCGCACUGAUGGUGAACAAGUCCUCAAGUUUCCACCACCUCAUGUCAUCCAAGGUAUUGUUUGCUUACAAGUCACAUAUAUAUCUCAAGUAAAAUCAACUGAAAUUACUUCACAUCCAAUAUUUAUCAUAUUUAACAUUUACAUGUUUUUCAUAUUAUUUGGAGCAGUUAGUAAGUCUGCAUGGAUGACUGAUGAAGAAUUUGGAAGAGAGAUGCUUGCUGGUGUUAAUCCUUGCCUAAUUCAACGCCUUCAAGUAAAUAAUGCUUUAUUGUUCAUUAAAUUGGAAUGAUUUGGUUUUCAUUUGAAUUAUAUUCGUUGUUUCUCAUGUUAAUUUACUGGCAAUGUUAUUUAAUGAAUGACAGGAGUUCCCUCCAAAGAGCAAGCUAGAUGCUUCUGUGUAUGGUGAUCAAACUAGCACAAUUACUAAAGAAAAUUUGGAGAUCAACCUUGGUGGACUCACUGUGGAAGAGGUGAAUGAUAUUUAUUAAUUCCAUGGCAAAAUGAUACAUGAAUCUCCAUUUAACCAUGACACUGAAUGUUUAUAAUGAUAUUUGUUCAACAGGCAUUGAAUGGUAACAAACUGUUCAUAUUAGAUCACCAUGAUGCAUUCCUACCAUAUCUGAGGAAGAUCAAUGACCUACCCACCGCAAAGUCUUAUGCCACAAGGACAAUCCUUUUCUUGAAAGAUGAUGGCACAUUGAAGCCAUUGGCUAUUGAAUUAAGUCUUCCACAUCCUAGGGGAGAUGAGUUUGGUGCUGUUAGCAGAGUUAUCUUGCCUGCAGACCAAGGCGCUGAAAGCACAAUUUGGCUAUUGGCUAAGGCUUAUGUUGUAGUAAAUGACUCUUGCUAUCAUCAACUCAUGAGCCACUGGUAUGCAUAAACUCUCCCAUUUGUCAUCACUUAUCAUAAACCAACUAUUAAGUGAUUCUUAAUUUAUUUGGUUUGCCAUAUCAUUUGAUCACAGGCUAAAUACCCAUGCCACAAUUGAGCCCUUUGUCAUAGCAACAAAUAGGCAUCUCAGUGUGCUCCACCCUAUAUACAAACUCUUGUCGCCUCACUAUCGUGACACCAUGAAUAUCAAUGGACUUGCACGACAAUCACUCAUCAAUGCAGGUGGUAUUAUUGAGCAAUCAUUUUUGCCCGGGCCAUUCUCUGUGGAGAUGUCUUCAGCAGUUUACAAAAGUUGGGUUUUCACUGAUCAGGCUCUUCCUGCUGAUCUUAUUAAGAGGUAAUAUUUAUGCAUUACUGUAAAAAUUUUCAAGUUAAAAUUGUUCAUUUAUUUCAUACCAACAUUGUGUGUCCUUUUAAUCUAUUUUCUGAAGAAACUUUAGUAAAUAUUAAAAGAUCUUGAUUUUUAUACAUUGUCAAUGUAAACCCAUUAUAAAUAACGUCAAGUAUUAUUUUAUGGUAUUGUGGUAGAAACUAACCAACUUAUCAUAAAUACAAUAUGUUAUUGGAUUAACAUAUAAAAGUCUUUUACUCUUUGUGCAUUAUGUAUAUUUUAUAUUUAAAAUGUUAAAAGCGAGUAUUGCCUUGUGGAAGUUAAAGACUGAUGAGAUAGUCAAAAUUCAUUUCAAUGAUAUUAUUUACUUAAGUAAAAUUGUUUUUUAUCUAAAAAAUGAAAGAGAAAUUUGGUGUUAACAACAAGUCCUUUGUUAUCUCCUUGAUUCAGAGGAAUGGCAAUUGAGGAUCCAUCCUCUCCACAUGGCCUUCGUCUAGUGAUUGAUGACUACCCUUAUGCUGUCGAUGGACUAGAGAUAUGGAGUGCUAUCCAGUCCUGGGUUAAAGACUAUGUCUCAUUGUACUAUGCCACAGAUGAUGCAAUUAAGAAAGACACAGAACUCCAAACUUGGUGGAAGGAAGCUGUUGAGAAGGGUCAUGGUGACUUGAAAGACAAACCAUGGUGGCCAAAGUUGAACACUCCUCAAAAUCUGAUUCACAUUUGCAGCAUUAUAAUAUGGACUGCUUCAGCUCUCCAUGCAGCUGUUAAUUUUGGACAAUACCCUUAUGGAGGUUACAUCCUAAACCGUCCAACUCUAACCAGAAGAUUGAUCCCAGAGCCAGGAACCAAAGAAUAUGAUGAGCUGAGCAGCAAUCAUCAAAAGGCUUAUCUGAGAACAAUUACAGGAAAAUAUGAGGCCAUUGUGGACCUUUCUGUGAUAGAGAUAUUGUCAAGACAUGCUUCUGAUGAGGUCUAUCUUGGACAGAGGGACAAUCCUAAUUGGACCGAUGAUACAAAGGCUCUUCAAGCCUUUCAAAAGUUUGGAAACAAACUGAAGGAAAUUGAGAAUAAGAUCUUAGGAAGGAACAACAAUUCAAGUCUCAGAAACCGUGUUGGGCCAGUUAAGAUGCCCUACACUGUGCUUCUUCCUACCAGUAAGGAAGGUCUCACUUUCAGAGGAAUCCCCAACAGCAUCUCUAUUUAAGGAGUCUACCUGUGUGGUUUAAUGUCUGUCCUACUUUAUCGCUCAAUACCAAAUAAUUAUGUUUGCUUGUCUCUGCAUAAUUGUCGGGUGUAUGCUUAAGUAAUGUAUGGGGAUCUUACAUGGUUCUCCUUUUAAUAAGAGUGGUAUCAUUUUGUGUUAAGUAUUGGGUUAUAUAAGUCUGAUAUCUCGGAUUUUGAAUAUCAAAUCAAAUUUCUCUCUGCCAUAUACAUUUUUAACAUAAACCUGUUGCAUGACUUUGAUUUGGGUAUCUAAAUUUCUACCUCAUAAAAAACAGAACAAGCUUCAUUUUUUUUUCCUUAAAUACUACUAAUAAUUAUUUUACUUUUUGAAGAAAAUAAAAAUGGAAUCAAGAAGAAGUAUUUUAAAAUAAAAGCAAAGAGAAAAAAUAAAAUAAUUGUAAUAAUAAAAAACUCUUUUCUACUUAUUGCAGUUCUGUUUCACUUUGCAUAUCCCUAGCCCGUCUCACUCUUUUCCUUUCCACACCCAUUUGCUUCUCUCCACGCACCCAUGCCACUCUUUUUUCUCACCCCAUUCUCAGUGCCACGCCGCCGCGCCGUCAACCGUUGCCAUCCAUCAUCAUCCUGCAUAUGUUUUUUAUUUUCCUCAUAUUUUUGGUUUCUUAUCACCUUUUCUCUCUCUUCAUUGAUUCAUACACUCAUAAAACAUAUUUAAAUGGCGGGUUCCACGUUUUUUUAUACAAACAAGAUAAAAUUAAAUUCAAAAUUCAAACAUAACAAAAAAAGAAUCUGAGCCCAUUCCGCAGCCCGACUUACGUUUUCUCACUGCACCCCUCCUUUACCGUCACACUCCUCUUAUUUCAAAACAAGGGAAAUCUGGGCACAUUCUGCUGGUCCAGCUACUUUUUACUUUCUGACCCCUUUGUCUACCUGCGCGACCCUCACUCAAAGCUUAACCAUAUUUACUCUAGCACGUUUUUUGUUUUUAAUUUUUAUUAAUAAAAAUUUGAAAAAUAAUAAAUAAAUUAGCAAGGGGCGACUCCUUCUUAAUUUUUUUUGUGUGAAAAUCUUAUUUUAUUUCGCAUCCCAUCGUUACCGCGAUAGAUCUUAAAACUAGGUUGUUGCCACUAUACAAUAACAAAGACACCACUAAUAAAGGUCUUAUAUCAAUCUUUGUGAAAAAGUUGUAUCGUGACACCAACAAUUUAUAUUUCUCUGUUGGUGAGAUGACCAUCACUUCGGAUGAUGUGCUAGUAUUGCUACAUCUUCCCAUUGUGGGAUAGUUUUUUUCGUAUAUGAUUUUGGAUUUUAAAUCAACUUUAUCAUUGUUGGUUGAGCUCUUUGACUUGGAGUUUGGUGAUGCUACAACAGAGUUGAGCGAGUGUUGUUGAUAUACAAACCAAAGGAUCAAGUUACCAAUCAAAAUAAAAAAAAACACGUAGAGGCAAAAUUAUAAGUAACUCAAGAUCAUACCUUCAAUUGAACCAGAGAUGACCAAACACAACAUCUUUAAAAAAGUAUUUAUUCAUAUGUCUCCAAAUCUCAACAAUAACUGCAAUCUAGAUACUUCCCCAAACAACAUUAACAGGUACAUUAAAAAGCAUUAAAAAGUUUGAAUUGGUGGAAGUGUGAAAGAGGAUCAUGAUGAUCUACCAAUGCCAACUCUAACCAAACAUAACAAUGGUUCCAAUCGAGCCAGACAAUUAAAAGUAAGAAAAAUCCCUUUAUAAAUUAACUAUUUCAUCUUGCACUCCUGCAAAAAAAAGUUGUUACUCCUCCAAAAGUCCACUUUAAUUAACAUAAGAACGUCUCCUCAAACCUACAAAACACACUGCUACAUCCUUCCUAAAGCAAGAGGUUGACUAUACAAAUUCUCUAAUAUGAAACAUUACUCCUUAACAUAUUUCAUACAUUCCAAUGAUUUCAUACACCAUUCAAAAUGAGAGAAAUCAGCAAAAAAAAAUUACAUGUAAUCCAAGUCUAGGUUUUUCUUUGUAAACCCUAAACCCAAAACAAGAAAUUAUGAGGUUUUGAAUUUGAAUUCUUUAGAUGUUUCAUGUUCAAGAAAUUGAUUAAGAUUUUUGAAGAUUUGGAUAUUGUGUUAUACUUUAACAACCCCAACUUUUAUGCUUAAAUUUAUGUGAGAUUAUAGUUAAUAAAUGAACUUGAGGUAGAUAAUUUAGUUUGCAUGUGAAAAUUUUACAAAAAUUGAGAAGUAAUGGAGUGAUUUCACGUUAACUAUGUUGAGUGGAGAUGUUUGUUGUUUCUAUGAUAAUAUUUUGAUUAUAUUGGAUAAUUUAAAUUCUUGAAAACCAGAGUUCUUGUAUGUGAAUAAGACUUUUAUAAGUUUAGAAAAAAUGGAGUUCUUAGGGUUAAACAAGUUAUUUUAUACUAUUUAAAUAUUAUUGUAUGAAAGAAUAUAAAAGAAACAAUAAAAAUAUUUGAGUCAUCGGUUUUGUUCAUGACUAAAGAAAAAUGUUACUUUUAAAUUUAUAAUCUAUAAUUUUAAUAAAGUUUAAGAAAACCAAUUUUUUUAAUAAAAUCGUAAAUUUCAAGUUCAUGAAGUUAAAUUUUUAAUUAAAUUAGUUGAUAGAGUGGUAUUUGUGAGUUAAAGUUUUAGUGUGAAGUCCUUUUAAUGAGGCACUUUUGCAAACUUCGAGUUGAAUAAGAUUAAGUUAGAUUAAAGCAUGAAAACUUUGCCUAUACUUAAUUUUAGAGAUCUAGUUAAGUUUAUGGUUUUGCAUAUUUUUGUUGAAGUGAAAUAUUUCUUAUUUAGCUUUUAUUUAGCGAAACUUUUCAAAAGAGAUAAAAGAUAAAUAUCUACUUAAAUAAAAUUUCUUUAGAAAGAAAUGAGAUUUUUUUAAGAAUUUUCCUCAACUAUAUAAAAAUUUGCUAAACGAAUUUAGAUACAACAUGAAGAAUGAAUUAUAUUUUAAAAAAACAACAGAUUAUAAUUGUGCUAAGUGGAUUUCUUAAAAAAAGUUCUUACUCUUUAUUACCUAAUAGGACUGUUCUCUUAAUUUUUUUAUUUAAUUUUAAUAUAUUUUAAUAAAAUUCAUUAUGCUUGUUAAAUUAUUGAGUGUUUAUUUAGGAUUGGUAUGUGGAUGUGAAAUCAUCGAGGUGAUUGAGGUGAGAUACUUAUUAUUAACAGAGUAAUAUUAUGAUGAUUUAAAUUUAAUUUAUAAUGUAAGUAUUAAAUUAUGAAACAUAAAUAUCUAUAUUUUUGUCUUAAAAGUAUAAUGAUAUUCAGGGAUAUAUCAUGUACGAAAAACUAAUGAAAGUUCCUACUACCUAUUUGAGCAUGAGUAGGAAUUUUGAGAAAAACAAUAUCAUGACUCAAAUUGAGAAAGUUGUUCCAAAUUAGAAUUUAUUAUCCUUAAACUAUGUUGGUUAUUAAUUCAGAUUUUAUUAUUAUUAAUUAUGAUUUUAUUACCCUUAAACUAUUUUACCGUUAUAUUCCAUUAAUUCUUAGUAGUCCAUGGUCUUACUAUUAAAAACAAGUUACAUGGCAAGUCAUCAACCUUUUUAUAAGAAAUAAAAUGAGUCAUUUUGGAAAAUCUUAAACAACCACGAGGAUAAAAUCUUUCUCCCAUUGAGUCUAUUGCAAACUUCCAUUGAAAUAUCAAGUCAAAAAUUAUUAGGAAAAGACAAAGGAAUGUACAAACCAUGUGGUUUCAUUAUUGAUUUGACCUUUUUACAAGUAAUGCAAUUUUUACAAAAUUUGUUCACAUCACAUUUCAUGUGAGGCCAUUAAUAAUGUUCAUACAAACUAUUUAAGGUAUUUUGAACCCCAAAGUGUCCCACUAACCCUCCCUCAUGUACUUCUCUAACUAAAAGAUCCUUAAUAGAACAUUUAGGCACACAAAAUCUUAUCUCUUUAAACAAAUAAUCAUUGUGCCUAAAAUAUCCAUUGGUGCUAAAAGUUUACGAGAAACAAAAGUUCCAGAAAAUUCAUAAUCAUGUGAAUAAAUUUCUUUCAAAAAUUUAAGACAAUUUUUUUGUUUGUUUAAAAAGUAGAAAUCAAAACAUGUCUUCUAGAUAAAACAUCAAGUACAAUAUUUUAUUUUCCUUUUUUUAUGCUUUAUGACAUACAAAAAUUAUUCUAAAACUUCAACUCAUUUGACAUGUCUUUUAUUUAAUUUUUGGCCUUUUAAAUAUUUUAAAGACUUAUGAUUUAUAUGAAUAAGAAAUUCUUUAUGUAAAAUAAAUAUGUCAAGUUUGUAACACUCUCACCGAGGCAUACAAUUGUUUAUCAUAAGUGGGAUAGUUUAGGGUGAUCCCUUUUAACUUCUCAUUAAAAUAAGCAAUUAAAUGACUUUAUUUCAUAAAAAAAAACCCUUAUACCCACAUUAGAUAAUGCACCACACUCAAUUUCAAAAGAUGUUGUGAAGUUUAGUAAUGCAAGAAUGUGAACAUUAGUCAAUUCAUGUUUAAGGGCAACUAAAACUUUUUCUUGUGUUUCCCUUUUGAAUGCGGGAAUAUUAAAUUUGAUCUUAUCCAAUCCCAGUUGUCUUUGUUCUCCUUCUUCUUCUUUUUUUCUCUCUUUUUAAACUUUUUUUUUUCUUUUACCCUUUGUUUUUAACUUUUUUUUUAACUUCUUUCCUUUAUCUUUAUACAUAUAAUUGAAAUUUCAUUUUAGAGUCUCACAAUCAUCACACAUAACACGCACAUGCACACACGAACCCACACACUCGCACACACACUCACACAAAUUGGAAAUUCACAGGAGACGAAUUGGAAUCAAUCAACAAUUUUAAGUUGAAAAGAAUAUCAAAUAAAUAAGGUGCCACAAAUAAGGUUUAAUAAGCCUAAUAAUGGUCAUCUAAAGAAUUAGUAAAUUCUUGAUAAUAUCAGAAGAUGCAAGGGAAUAAUCCUAACAAAGAAACUAUCACUCUUAUUUUGGCAAAAUAAUUAUUUUUUAUUCUGAAUUCUAAAAAUAUAUUUAUAGAUUUUGCUUCGUUUGUAAGUAAAUAAUGAGAUCUCACAUCACUACAAGAAAAUCACAAAAUAGAAAUUAAUAAUAAAUAGUUGCUAUAGUGACUAAAUUAGAGACCAUUUUAGAAAUUAAAAAAAAAUUGGUUUCUAAAUUAAUUUCUAUUAUUGUUAAAUAGUUUCUAAAUUGGUAAUGCAUCAUAUAUAAAUAAUGACAUUUUAUAGUAUAUAGGUGAGAGCAAACCUCACCUUAUAUUCUGAUUUUGUAAAAUUAAAUUAUACUUAUAAUCUACUUCUUAAUAAAUAAAAAUAAAAUAUAAUUUAUAUAUUUCAAAAAAAUAUAAUAUUGUCUUAAUAGUUAGAUUAAGACAUUUUGAUUCUGGAUUCAAAUUCUAACCCUAACUAAAAUAUUAAUCAGUAUUUUAGCAGUUCAAGCAUGUGUUUUUUCUAAGUCUUUUAAAUACUUCAGAUAAGAUUAUUAAAAUAAUUUGAGGAGAAGAAGAUAAGACACCAUUAUUGUCCUUGGAAGCAAAACAAGUGGAAGACAAGAGUGUAGGGGAGGGGUUGAAAACCCAAUGCCGACAUGUAUGUGGAGUAAUAGUACAAUGUCCUCUAUUCUAACACUAUUUCUCUUUCUACAUAAAAUAAAAAUAAUAAUUUUUAGACAUUUUAAAUCUCACUCAAUACUUUGUGAAAAUAAUUAAAAUUUAUAUAUUUAGAUGUAAAUAAAAACAAAAAAAAAAUUAGUAGAAAGUAUUUUAGUAUUUUACAGCAUUUUUAAAAUGGGUAUUUAAAAAUUAUUACUCUUUUGCUUAAAUAAAAUAAAUAAUUUUUUUAAGGGUUUAGUUCUUAAAUUAACUCCGUUAAAUAGAAUACAUAAUUUUUUUUGUAAACUUUAUGUUUGAUUUAUAUAAAUAAAUAAUCCUUUUAACUAUUUUUUUUUGUUUUGAAGUUAAAAACUGGUUGCGUACAGUUUGGUGAAGCUUUUGUCGUUUGUGGUUGUUCCUUUACACUCUUUUGAACGUGCAAAAUAUGUUUAAUUAGAACAGAACAUUUGGAUAAUGUUUGACCAGAAUAUUUUAAUACCUUUUUAUUUAUUUAAAAUAAACACUAAUUUUAAUGUAUAUGUUCUUCGAUGAGUCGGAAUAUUUAUAUACGCCUGUACAAAAUUAUGUUAUUCAUAAUUAACGUGAAGUCGUAACUAUAUAAAUUCUAAAAUAUUAGGAAUAAUUUAUAAUAAAAAAUUAAUUUUAGGUGAUUUUUUAAAUGUAAUUUUAAUUGAUCAAAGUUAUAUAAUUGAUGAAAUUAUUGAUGGAUUUUCAUGAUUAAUUUGUUCCAAAAUUUUACUAUUAAAUCUGGAAGCUAUUUACAUUCAAUAUAUUCGUUAACUUGGUUAAUAACAAAUAAAAAUUCAAAAUAAUUUCAAUUUAAAAAAGUUACUAUUUGGAUUUUGUAUUUGUAUACAUAAUAAAGUAGUUUGUUCACUUCAAGUCUUCUUCUUUAAUUGUUGGUGUUAGGUUGAAAGGUUGACUGAAAAAGUUACUCUGACGAUCAAGUAAUUAUUUUGUGUUAAAAGUGUAUAGUGAAAACUGAUUAAAGUGUAUCUUACACAUUUGUCUCUGUAGAGGGUUUAUUUAUAGUGUUUAAUCAUGAACUUUUGUUGUGAUGGAUUGAAUCUAUCAAAUAUUAGUGUUAAUUGAUUUCUAGCAUGAUCAUUGAUUUAUAGGGAGAUAUAUUUGUAUAUUUGGAAAAUAUAUUUAAUAAGUCAAUAUUUUCCACUAAAUCAGUGUUAGUUGGUUUUUAGGGGAUGUCACCCAAAAUCGGUGGGACAUUUUUUUUAUCGACAAAAAGGAAUGGAAUAAAUGAAGGUAUUUCAGGAUACCUCAACCUUAUACAAAAACAACGACGUCCUUCACCCUACCACUCACAUUGAGAGCUUUAAAGUGGACAACACGAGGGAAAGUUUGUCGUCUACCCAUACUCAAAUACAAAAAACAACACCUCUAACUUGAGUCAAAUCAGCUCAACUUGACCUCCCCCCUCUAACCUUUUCUAUUUUUUAUUGACCUCAUGCGUACCAAAGGUUCAAGACACCAAUCUAAGUAAGAAAAAAACAUGCUAAACGUACCUUCGAGAUGACCCAUGACCAAACCUGCAGCUGCGCCAUUGUGAAGAUUUCUAUGUGAUCCAUGCGUCCAUUCUUGAAAACCUUUGUUUCCAAAUUUCGCCUAUAACUGCUAUCCACACACAAUUCCAGAUCCGGUUAAUACCUUUGCUUUCCUCGUUCAUCCUGAAGUGAGACAAAAGUAUUUUUGAAUCCUGAUGAACCAUCGCUGUCCUGCCCACCCACUCAAAGCACUUUGCCCAAACCAACCACGCUACCCUACACGUACUAAAUAGAGAUGAAGCGUUGUUUCAAUCCUCCCCACACAUAUUACAUAUGCUACUCUCCACCGUGAUCCCCUCCGUUAGUUUUAGUCGCAAUUUUGUUUUCCAACACUCUCCAUGUUGUAACUAAGGCUGAUGUGGUUGAGCCUUAAUCUCCAUAACCCCUUGUGUAGGUCAGAACCUUCCCCCUGUAGCUCCCCUUUUAGGACUCUAUAAACAUACUAGAUUGUAAAACUUGUAUCAUCACUUUCUUUCCAGACCCACUUAUCCUCCUUAUCUUUGGUAUGCACCAGGUCAAUAAAAAAUAAGAAAGGUUAGAGGGGAGAGGUCGGUUUGACUCAAGUUAGAAGUGUUAUUUUCAUAUUUGGGUAUGGAUAAACAACAAACUUUCCUCCGUAUUUUACGUUUUAAAGCUUUCAAUGUGAGUGGUAGACUGAAAAAUAUCGUUAUUUAUUCUAUUUUUUUAUCACUAAAAAAAUACAUAAUCACAUAUUAAUAUCAUCCAUCAAUCACCUAAAUUGAAUAAUUGGCUCGUGCAAUUCCGAAGUACAGAUCUAAAUAACAUUUUGAACAAUGUGUGAAUUGUUUUUGGAACUAGAUUUAUCUGCAACAUGUAACUUUUUGGAACACACAAAAAAACAAGAUAUACAAUACAAUAAUUGAAUAUGAUCAGAAACUCUUAUAUCACAUCCAUUACAUCAUCAAUCAUACACAUUUUUUUAACAAUGAUUACAAUAUUUCUCACUUCGCUAAAGACAUCACACAUAAAUGUAUACAAAAAUCAAGAUUUGUCGAUUUUUUAAGAUAUUUAUUGAGUUAGUCUGUUUGAGAUUAACACUUCAUGUAUGAUUAGAGUUUAUUGAACAUAAAUAAUUAUUUAUAUACAAUAACGAUAUCUUUUUUGCAUAGACUUUAAAAAAAAUGUUGUGUAAGAAUUUUUAUCAAUUUUCAACACCUAAAACAUUUAUUUACGUACAUGAUUUUUAGUUAUCAAUAAAACUUGAAUGUUUUAUUUUUAUACUAAUUUCUUAAUUUAAUACUCAUGUUAUAUUCAAACUAAUGACAAUAUUAUAUAAUAUUAUAUAUAAGGUUGAAAGUGUUGAUUAUUAAUUCAGAUUUUAUUAUUAUUAAUUUAAAUUUUAUUACUUUUAAACUAUUUUGACUCCUAUUAUUACAUUAAUGAUCAAUUUUCAUAGUAUUUCUAUUUUAUAGUUUUCAAGUAAUUAUAAUUUUAUAAUAUAUACUGUUGAAGUAAAUUAAAAUGAAUAAGAUCUAGUCGGCAGUUUUGCAAUGUGCAAUUACCUUCAAUUAGUUUAUACAACUUUUUUUUUUUCAAUUAGUUUCUACAGAAAUUGUCACGUUUAAUUAAUUAAUUUAUUUAUUGUUAGUAGGGAUCUCUGUUAUGCUGGAUUUUUGUUUUGAAGUGAUAUUUUCUGUAAUGAGCAAACAACAACGUGUAGGCGAAGCAGAAUGUGGAUAUAGUUUCAGUAUUUUAGGCAUAUGAUAAUUUGGGAUAUUUUAACCCUUUACAUACAUUAUCUUGUUCUUCUUAGAAAUCAAAAAGUCAAAUGAUAGUCUAAGAAUUUUUGUUUCAUAAAACUCUAAAAUCCUUCGUAAGUAUUUGAGACAAAAAUAGCAGUACUUAAAACAACUUAGUACUUUCCAAAUGAUUAUGGAUUAAUUUUUAAUUAUUUUUUUUUCAAAUUAAGAUAGAAACAUUUGAUACUUGUAUAAUCGAAUUAAGCAUAAUUGAUUAUAUUAAAAAAAAUAGCUUUUCAGAAUCGAUUAUUAUAUGAAAUAAUUAAUUAUGUGUUAAUAAAAUGAGAUCUAGUUUUAGUUCAGAAUUACGAGCUUAACAUAACUAACUAUAUGUUCAUAAAAAAUAACUUUUAAUGUAAAUUUGAUUAAAACUUUUUAAAGAUUGAUUUAAAUUUUAUAUUUAUUUAAAUUAAAAGAACACCAAAUAAUGAAUGUACGUCUAUUCAUUAACUAGGUGUACAUUUAUCAUCAAAUCAUCAACACCCUAUCAAUAAUAAAUAAUGUAUUACAUAAGUAAAGGGAUAACAAUUUCCAUCUACAAAUAAGAAAAAUAGUACUAGUCAUUCAUGUUACAACCAUGUGCUUAAUUGAUAGUAGAAUACAUUUCUACCAAAUAUUUCAUAAUUACUUACUAAACCCUUCCUACACAAAUCUUCUAUUUAUUUUUAUGUUUUAAAGCUUUGGUUCUUUUAGAUUUCUAAAAUGUAUUAUAGAAGAUAAAAAAAAUUCUAACAAGUAUUUGUGCAUUUUUUUUUUCAAUUACACAGUAGUAAAUAAAACUAUUUUUUACAGGAGUAUUACUAACUUUUAUAUUUACCAAUACUUAUAAUGAAGUAAUGCUAUCUCUUAUCUUUAGAAAUUUAUUUCUUAUAUAUGAGAUAAAGAUAACAUAUUUUUAUGAUGCUUUUUAUAAAUUAAUAUUUGUUUAGUGAUAAAAUAUUUUAUAAUAUUUAUGAUUAUAAUUUUUAAAUUUAUUUAUUUAUAGAUAAAUGAUUUUUAUUAUUAGAUUUUAUUCUCAUAUUAGAUAUUCUAUUAUUAUUCUUAUAUUAUAUGUAAAUAUUCUCAACUAAGUUUAAAGUAAAAUAAAUUAAAUGCAUUUACAUUCAUUAUGCUGAAUAAUGUAAUUUUCAAAAUAUUUUGAAAUGUAUGGUUAGAUUAAUAUAAUAAAUAAAUAGUAUAGUAAAAAGAGAGAAAAAACUGAUUUAACUUUACUUUAUGUAAAACGAGUAGUAAUGACAUUUAAUAAUGUUUUAAUAUUAAAAAUAAAAUAAAUAUAAAAAGUUAAAAAUUACCAUUUUAAAUAAUAUCACUUGAAAUAGUAUUUUUUUUAAAGAAAUUAUAAACUACUUAAAAAAUAUUUUUCAAACUUAUUAAAAAAGUCAAUGUAAGUUUUAUAAUUUAAAAACUAAAAUCUAGUUAGAAAUGUUUGGAAAACAUCCACUUAACAUGUAUGUAAUAUAAGUCAUUGUGUACAAUCUUCAUAAUUAGGAUGUUUUUGGGUUUUUACCAAUUUUUUUUUAUCAACAAAGAAUAAAUAAAAUAAAAAGAGAUAAGAGACUUUUUAGCAAUUUAAUCAAUAACUAAAUACAAGUGCAUUUAAUUUAGUGUUUACAAAACCUAAAAAGUUGACUAAACUGUUCAAACUUAAAAUGAAUUAUUCAACACGAAACUAAACAUAAGAAUAUAUAUUUAUCUAAAAUAUUUAACUGUAAUAUUUUUAGUAUCAAUGCAUACUACUCCAACUCCUCCACUACUAUCUGGUAUUUAUUUAACAGUAAAAAAAAACUUAAACUCUAAACUUAAAAAAGAAAAUACUUAAAGAGUGAUUUUGAAUAACCUAUCGUGAAACCAAACACCUACUGCAAAUAAAUAUUUUUUUUAACAUUGUAUUUUUUAUCAACAAUAAAAAAAAAUAAGAAUAAUUUUAGAAAUGAUCCAACUAUUAUAAAAAAAUCACAUAGAAACAAACACUUUUCUUCAAAAAUUUGUUACUAACUUUCUAUUAAAGAUGAAAACAAAUAAAUCAGAUUAAUACCUUAUUCCAAUGUUUUAAAAUAAAAGUCCUAGAAAUUCAAAAUCUCUUAAUAAAAAACACACAUUUCAAAGAAUAAGACAUUGAAUAACAUGUUUUUCUUAUUCAGAUUAAUGUUUAAAACCAAAACCAUUGGUUUGUAUUAGGUCAAUAAAAAAGGAAUAGUUUAAAGAGAGAGGUUGAGUUGAGCAAGAGUGUUCCAGAUUAGAGAUAAUGUUUUUUAGAUGUGGAGCUUGCAUCUCUCGUGUUGUCUACUUUAAAGUUCACUAUGCGAAUAAUAAACUAAAGGAUGUCGUUGUCUUUAUACAAGAGUGGAUGUGUCCCUAAACUAUCUUGAUUUUUAUUCAUUCUAUUUUUACCAAUAAAAAAUUGAACAAGAAAAACAAGUAAAUAUCCCACCAAAGGCAUAGCUUAAGUUGAGCAAAAGAGACUUUGUUCAAUAGACCGCUGUCUAAAAGUUUAAAACCUAUGUCAGAUUUAACUUUUUCUUUUAGAUACAAAGCAUUUUAACUUUCCUCUGAACAGUGCAUGUGGUUUAUUUUCUACAUCUUAUAUUAUCAUAUCUGUCAUUUUUUGUUUUUAUGUUAAAUCAUUGUCCUUUCUUGUCAUUUACCCUGAAUUUUUGUGAGUGUUUUGUCACCCUCCAUUCGUCUUUUUAUGCAUUUUCAGAAGUUGUCCUCAACAAAAAACUGAGCACAUUAUUACUCAUAGCAGAAAAUUAUGGUGGAACUUGCUACUUAUCUAUAAAUAGCCUCUUUGCAGGCACAAGGGUCUCCCACAGCAUCUGUAGAAAGAAGAGUGUGCUGUGUUGGAGCAGUCAUGUUUAAGGGCAAUACCUCAAAGGUUCACCAAGUGAAGGGGACAGUGGUUUUGAUGAGCAAGAAUGCAUUGGACUUCAACAAAGAUGGUGCCACUGCCAUCUUCAGCCCUGACUUUUCCAUAAAGCUUAUCAGUUCUAACAGGGUUGAUGGUUUGUUUCUUCCUUUUCUCAUAUAAACCAUGCAAAAUAUAACAUACACAUACAUAUAUCUUUAUUAAACAUUCCAUUAAUAUUUAUAGUUUUUCCUUUUAUCUGUCUUCAUUGGGGAGUGAAAAAACAAUUCAUUCAUCAUCCUCCUACAUCAUUAAAAAAAAAAACACAAAAACUAAUUUUAAAUACUAAAUUAGAAACCAUUUUAAUACUAAAACAAUUUUUAAUUUAUAAAUUAAUUUUUAUUAUUAUUAGAUAGUUUCUAAAUUGAUAUCUAAUUAGAUUUUUUUUACCAAAUAUGAUGUAAAUUUAAAAAUUAUUUAACAAUAAUAAAAAUUAAUUAGAAACCAAAAAUUAUUUUAAUAUUGAAAAUGAUCUCAAAUUUAGUUAUAGAAUAAUUAAUUAUUUUAAUUAUUUUUUAUGUAUAAAAUUGAUUUCUAUUUAAUCUUAUGAUUGACUAAUGAUCUCCAUCUAUCCUUUUUUUAAAUCUAAGUCAUGCUUCCAAUAAUCAGUACUAUUUCAUAUUUUAUGAGACUUUUUAUAUGUUUUCUUUAUAAAAUAUUGCAAGAAAUCAGUUUUCUUGUGAAUUUUUCUAUGGAUUUUGUACAGUCUGAAAAAAAUAUGUGCAUGAACUUUUUUAUGAAAUAUGAAAAAUUGUAGUUGUCAAUAUUUAAUUGAUAAAAAAUAAUCUAACAGUAUUUUGCAUAGUUAAAUCUUUCUUAAUUUUAAAAAAAUAUGGUAUUAAAAUUUCUUUUACAAGUUUUCUUUUUGAUUUUUAUGAAAAUGUAUUUUCUAUUUUGAAAAUAUAUUUUUUUAUAGAUUAUUUGAAUAUCCCAUAUUAGAAAUAAUUAAUGGAUGUAUUACAUUUGAAUUUUAACAAAUGGAGUAAGAUGAAUUGAAAAUUUUAAUUAAUAACAAAAUUAAUGAAUUUUUUUAUCCAAUACAUUAUGAUUUGAAAUAAAAUUUAUCUAACUCAUUAUGUUUGACCCCUUAAUUAAUCACAGUACAUGAGUUUCCACAUUUAUAGCUCUUUCACUUCUCUAGUUUUUUUUUUUCUUCUAAGAUUAUGUUGGAUUUGUUAAAAACAUAUGGGACUGUACAAAACAAAAUUUCUGAUGUUUGCUUUGAAAUAAAUUAAGUGAAGAACAUAAAAGUGUGAAGCUAAUUUCUAUUUGAGCAUUAUUCUUGCUAGGUAUUUUUAAUCGGUUUCCACUUAUGAUAAAAAAAUUCUAGUAUUAGUAUUCUGUCAUUUUAGUGGAUUUGGGGAGAAAAUAUCAAGAAAGAAAAGUAUUUAUGUGAUCGAGAGAAGGUCAGAGAUUUGUAAGUAUUGUGUGUAAAUAAUGAUUUUGCCUCAAUUAUUUAUUUGUUUUUCUUUAUUUUUUAAAUUAUCACUGUCCAUUAAUAAAUAAUUAUUUUUCAUUUUUUCAAUUAAAUUUUCUAAUAAAUAUACACCAAAGAAAAAAAUUACUUCAUAAAAAAUAUUUAACAGGUAGCAAAAUACUAAUAAUUUUGAUUUAAUAUAUUAUUUAUUUUUUAUUAUUUUGCUUUAAUGAAACUAAAUUUAUACAAAUGUGUAUAUGUAAGUAAUUGUUGUUGUUAAAGAGUUUGAUUAGAAAUAAUAAGUUCAAAAUUAUAGAAUAUAAGUAGAUGGAAAUUUCAUCUCACAAUUUGUUAGAUUAAAUUAAAUAAAAACUAAUUUUAUAGACAAAAAAUAAUUAAUUGCUAUCGACUAAAUUAGAAACCAUUUUAAAAACCUAAAAAAUUAUUAGUUUCUAAAUUAGUUUAUAUUAUUGAUAGUUUAUAAAUUGAUAUAUAAUUUAGUCAAUAUAACAACUAAUUAUUUUUAGUGGUUAAAAUUGGUUUUUAUUGAAUAAUUUUCUUAGUUUAGAUAAAUAAUAUGUUAUGGAGAUUAAAAAAAUGUCUUAUUUGAGUUUGAUAAUAUUCUUUAUUUAGGGCAUAAGAAUGGGAAGGUUGGAAAGGAAACCUCUCGGGACAAAAAUCAACCUGCUUCUUCGUUACCAACCUUGGGAGAGGGAAAAACUGCAUUCAAUAUUUCUUUUAAAUUGGAUGAAAGUUUUGGAAUUCCAGGAGCAUUCUACAUCAAAAAUUUAAAGCAACCUGAGUUUUUCCUUGUGACUCUCACUCUUGACAUUCCAGAUCAUGGAACCAUUCACUUUGUUUGCAACUCAUGGGUUUACAAAGCACAGAAGGAUCGUAUUUUCUUUGCAAACAAGGUAACUAAGUUGUGCACCUAUCAAGCAAUAUAUGAAUCUGGUUUUUGUACUCACUAGGAAAAUCUAUAAACUGCAUAAUCUUGUUUCUUUUAUGUAUACAUUGGUUUGGUAAGCUGCAGUUUGACCUAGCUAUAUGAAUUAAGGGGCUAAAAAAAAAAACAUUAGGUAUGGAGAGCUAUCUCAACUCAUACACAUCACCAUAAAUUAAUCCGAAUUUGUUUGUAUAAACUUGUAACACCUUUAAGGUACUUAAUGAUCUAAUAUAUGAAAUUUAAACCCUAUAGUUUAUAAACUUCACAAAAUUCAUCCCUAUUGUCUAAAUGAAGAAAUUCAUUGAACAUGUUUCAGACGUAUCUUCCAGAUACAACUCCAACUGCUUUUAAAAAGUACAGAGAAGAUGAAUUGAAAAGUCUGAGAGGAGAGGGAAAAGAAAAAGGAAAGCGCCAAGAACAUGAAAGGAUUUAUGAUUAUGAUGUGUAUAAUGAUUUGGGCAACCCAGACAAGAGUGAUGAUCUAGCUCGUCCUGUUCUUGGAGAUUCUAGUGCCUAUCCAUACCCUCGCAGGGGAAGAACUGGAAGAGACAAAACAAAAAAAGGUUAGGGAUUAUUUUUCACUUUAAAAAAAUUAUUUCCAAAUUAAUUUGUCGAGAAUCUAUGUAUUGUCUCUGAUAUUCUUAUUUAACUUGAAUAGAAUUGUUUGUAUGAAAGAUGCACCUAGCUUCACAAAAACAAUGUCAAUAUUCUGUCAUUAUGUGUGGUUAUGUUAUUACUAAUUUGAUCUCUUUUAGAUAUAAUGAGGAUGUUCAAUAUGUUUUUGGAAAUAUAGAGAUGCUAUUUUUGUUAUUAGUAAGAAAAAAAAUUACAAUGAUUAGAAUUAAAGAAAGUAUAUGUAGUAUAGCAAAAGGUUAUAAACACAAACCUGCUAGUAGGUAUGUUUUUUUUAUUAAACACAAUUGAUUUGUAUUAGGUUUACUAGGGGUUUAUUUUGUUAUUUGAAAGAUGAUGUCGUUUUUGUUUUAUUGAGCUAAUUGUUAGGUAUUAAGGAUGUAUAAGGAUUGAAUCAUCCUCUAUUCUAUAUUUUUUUUUUGUCGAUAAAAAAAAACUCUCUUAAUGUAACUCUUGUGACACUAAUGUCACUACAAGAAAAUCAUGAAAUAGAAACCAAUUUUUAGAGACCAAAAUAAUUAGUUGCAAUAGUAACUAAAUUAGAGACCAUUUUAGAAACUAAACAAAAUUUUGGUUUCUAAAUUAGUUUCUAUUAUUGUUAAAUAGUUUCUAAAUUGGUAUUUAAUUAGCAACCAAGGUUUUAGAAACUAAAUAAUUGGUAGUUAAAACCUUGGUUAUUGCUAAUUUGAUACCAAUUUAGAGAUUAUUUAACAAUAAUAUAAACUAAUUUAGAAACUAUUUUUUUUUAGUUUCUAAAAUGGUCUCUAAUUUAGUUACUGUUGCAAAAUUGGUUUCUAUUUCAUGAUUUUUUUAUUGUAGUGUGUAGAGUUAGCUCAAGAGGAUAAAGGAAGGAAUAAUAGAGUAAAAAAAAAAACUCUUAAAACACUUAAAGACAAAAUAUCAUUUAGUUACUAUAGUGACUACAUUGGAAACCAUUUUAGAAACUAAAAAAAAAUGGUUUCUAAAUUAAUUUAUAUUAUUGUUAAAUAGUUUCUAAAUUGAUAUUUAAUUAGUUAUCAAAGUUUUAACUACCAAUUAUUUAAAUUAUAAAUUUGGUAGUAAAAACCUUAGUUGCUAGUUAGAUACCAAUCUAUAAACAAAUUAACAAUAAUAUAAACUAAUUUAGAAACCAAAUUUUUUUUUAGUCUCUAAAAUGAUCUCUAAUCUAGUCACUAUACCAACUAAUUAUUUUUUGUCUUUAAAAUUGAUUUUUAUUUCAUGAUUUUCUUCCCAUAAUUUAAUAGAGUGUUUAAGAUAAGACAGUUUCAAGUAGAUGGUCUUCUGUAUUUUUCAAUAAACUAUCACAAUCUAGAGCCAAUACAUCACAACAUUGAAAUGUCGUUACUUCUAAUUGUUAUUGUUAAUGAUACAAUAUUAAUUUUUAUUUAUCUCCAUUUCUAACAGACCCUAAGAGUGAGACACCAGCCAGCGGCGACACUUACAUUCCAAGAGAUGAAAAAAUUGGUCACUUGAAGUCAUCAGACUUUCUUACAAAUGGAAUAAAGUCCUUGGCUCAAAAUGUCUUACCUCAAUUUCAAUCUGCAAUUGCUUUAGAUCCUGAGUUUGAUAACUUUAAUGACGUUCGUGGACUCUUCAAAGAUGGACUUCCUCUUCUUACAGACGCAAUCAGAACAAUUAGCCAAACACCAGUGAUAAAGGAAAUCUUCCAGAUUGAUGGUGAAAAAGUCAAGUUUCCACCACCUCAUGUCAUCCAAAGUAUUGUCUAUUUAUAUGUCACACCUAUAUAUAUAUAAAGUAAAAUAAGCUACUAGUGAUUGGCAUGGCAACAAGUAUUUUUUAUAUUUAACAUAUCUAGUUGUUUUCCAUAAAAUUUGGAGCAGAUGGUGAG